rnacentral:rRNA from 1 species
UCGGGAAUUUUGGGCAAUGGGCGAAAGCCUGACCCAGCAACGCCGCGUGAAGGAUGAAGUAUUUCGGUAUGUAAACUUCGAAAGAAUAGGAAGAAUAAAUGACGGUACUAUUUAUAAGGUCCGGCUAACUACGUGCCAGCAGCCGCGGUAAUACGAAGGGAGCUAGCGUUGUUCGGAAUCACUGGGCGUAAAGCGCACGUAGGUGGGCAGUUAAGUCAGGGGUGAAAGCCCGAGGCUCAACCUCGGAAUUGCCUCUGAUACUGGCUGUCUAGAGUUCGAGAGAGGUGAGUGGAAUUCCUAGUGUAGAGGUGAAAUUCGUAGAUAUUAGGAAGAACACCGGUGGCGAAGGCGGCUCACUGGCUCGAUACUGACACUGAGGUGCGAAAGCGUGGGGAGCAAACAGGAUUAGAUACCCUAGUAGUCCCUGAGCGGGCUGGCAAGGCGCAU